rnacentral:lncRNA from 1 species
GGGAACAGGAAGGGCCUGGCAGAGGCCGAUAAGAAGGCAGCGCACCGGGGCGAGGCGUUGCUAAGAGAAGUUGCUAGGGCGGGGCUCGAGGGACUCUCUAUAAAAGGCUGGCGCGGGGUUAGGUUUCCAGCGUUCUGGCUAUAAGCGAUAAGGAGGAAGAAAAAUGAGAAAGGGCCUUCAUGGGAAUGCCAGGAGAUAAAGAAAAAUUACACAAAAUAAUAAAAAUACUGUGCCUAGAGACCAGUGUUUUGCAAAGUGGGUGACAUGGUGACUGCAGAUUCAGUUUCAGGAAGAUUAAAGGACUCAACACAUGGAAAGCAGUCAACCCAAUGCCUGCCCAUCUUGUGCACUCAGCACACAUCAGCUGUUCUUACUUCCGGGAGAGGUGGGGAAGAAUCCCCAUCUAAAUUUCCAGCUAAUUUCAGCAUGAGGAGUAAGUCACCAGCCCUCUGAAGGCCUCCUUGGGGCACAGCCUACUCUCUGCAGGGUGUUCCCCAUCUGAGCCCUAUCUACACCAGCUCUUGGGGAUGAUCAGAUCCUAAGCACACAGACCUCCCCAACUCCCGCUCCCCCCAGCAAUUUUUGUGACUCUGCUUUAACCUAUAAACUGAAGGGCAAGGCAGGGGAUGUUUUCCUGUGCUCUUUAAUCUGGUAUGUAAUAAAUUAUGCCUAUUUAAUCAUUUAAUGACUGAACAAAUGACUGAAUCAGUCUUAGAACAUUCAGCAAUCCCUUUUUAUGAAAACUUAAUUUGAAGUCUAUAUAAUAGCAGAGAGAAAGAAGGAGAGAGAGAAAGAGAC